rnacentral:rRNA from 1 species
AUUGAACGCUGGCGGCAGGCCUAACACAUGCAAGUCGAACGGUAGCACAGAGAGCUUGCUCUCGGGUGACGAGUGGCGGACGGGUGAGUAAUGUCUGGGAAACUGCCCGAUGGAGGGGGAUAACUACUGGAAACGGUAACUAAUACCGCAUAACGUCUUCGGACCAAAGUGGGGGACCUUCGGGCCUCACACCAUCGGAUGUGCCCAGAUGGGAAUAGCUAGUAGGUGGGGUAAUGGCUCACCUAGGCGACGAUCCCUAGCUGGUCUGAGAGGAUGACCAGCCACACUGGAACUGAGACACGGUCCAGACUCCUACGGGAGGCAGCAGUGGGGAAUAUUGCACAAUGGGCGCAAGCCUGAUGCAGCCAUGCCGCGUGUAUGAAGAAGGCCUUCGGGUUGUAAAGUACUUUCAGCGGGGAGGAAGGCGUUAAGGUUAAUAACCUUGGCGAUUGACGUUACCCGCAGAAGAAGCACCGGCUAACUCCGUGCCAGCAGCCGCGGUAACAC